rnacentral:rRNA from 1 species
UACGUAGGGUGCGAGCGUUGUCCGGAAUUACUGGGCGUAAAGAGCUCGUAGGUGGUUUGUCGCGUUGUCCGUGAAAACUCACAACUCAAUUGUGGGCGUGCGGCGAUACGGGCAGACUGGAGUACUGCAGGGGAGACUGGAAUUCCUGGUGUAGCGGUGGAAUGCGCAGAUAUCAGGAGGAACACCGGUGGCGAAGGCGGUCUCUGGCAGUAACUGACGUGGAGGAGCGAAAGCGUGGGAGCGAACAGG